GUGCACGCUGGCGGUAGGCCUCACACCUGCCAGUCGAACGGCAGCACAGUAAGAGCUUGCUCUUACGGGUGGCGAGUGGCGGACGGGUGAGGAGUACAUCGGAAUCUACUUUUUCGUGGGGGAUAACGUAGGGAAACUUACGCUAAUACCGCAUACGACCUACGGGUGAAAGCAGGGGAUCUUCGGACCUUGCGCGAUUGAAUGAGCCGAUGUCGGAUUAGCUAGUUGGCGGGGUAAAGGCCCACCAAGGCGACGAUCCGUAGCUGGUCUGAGAGGAUGAUCAGCCACACUGGAACUGAGACACGGUCCAGACUCCUACGGGAGGCAGCAGUGGGGAAUAUUGGACAAUGGGCGCAAGCCUGAUCCAGCCAUACCGCGUGGGUGAAGAAGGCCUUCGGGUUGUAAAGCCCUUUUGUUGGGAAAGAAAAGCAGCAGGUUAAUACCCCGCUGUUCUGACGGUACCCAAAGAAUAAGCACCGGCUAACUUCGUA
rnacentral:rRNA from 1 species